UACAGAGGGUGCAAGCGUUGUUCGGAAUUAUUGGGCGUAAAGGGCGCGUAGGCGGUGCGGUAAGUCCGCAGUGAAAUCUAUGGGCUCAACUCAUAGUCUGCAUCGGAAACUGCCGGGCUUGAGUGUGGAAGAGGUGAGUGGAAUUCCUGGUGUAGCGGUGAAAUGCGUAGAUAUCAGGAGGAACACCUGUGGUGUAGACGGCUUUCUGGACCGUAACUGACGCUGAGACACGAAAGCGUGGGUAGCAAACAGG
rnacentral:rRNA from 1 species